AAUACUCUCUAGUGACCGAUAGCGAACCAGUACCGUGAGGGAAAGGUGAAAAGCACCCCGGAAGGGGAGUGAAAUAGAACCUGAAACCGUGUGCUUACAAGUAGUCAGAGCCCGUUAAUGGGUGAUGGCGUGCCUUUUGUAGAAUGAACCGGCGAGUUACGAUUUGAUGCAAGGUUAAGCAGUAAAUGUGGAGCCGUAGCGAAAGCGAGUCUGAAUAGGGCGUUUAGUAUUUGGUCGUAGACCCGAAACCAGGUGAUCUACCCUUGGUCAGGUUGAAGUUCAGGUAACACUGAAUGGAGGACCGAACCGACUUACGUUGAAAAGUGAGCGGAUGAACUGAGGGUAGCGGAGAAAUUCCAAUCGAACCUGGAGAUAGCUGGUUCUCUCCGAAAUAGCUUUAGGGCUAGCCUCAAGUGAUGAUUAUUGGAGGUAGAGCACUGUUUGGACGAGGGGCCCCUCUCGGGUUACCGAAUUCAGACAAACUCCGAAUGCCAAUUAAUUUAACUUGGGAGUCAGAACAUGGGUGAUAAGGUCCGUGUUCGAAAGGGAAACAGCCCAGACCACCAGCUAAGGUCCCAAAAUAUAUGUUAAGUGGAAAAGGAUGUGGCGUUGCCCAGACAACUAGGAUGUUGGCUUAGAAGCAGCCAUCAUUUAAAGAGUGCGUAAUAGCUCACUAGUCGAGUGACACUGCGCCGAAAAUGUACCGGGGCUAAACAUAUUACCGAAGCUGUGGAUUGUCCUUUGGACAAUGGUAGGAGAGCGUUCUAAGGGCGUUGAAGCAUGAUCGUAAGGACAUGUGGAGCGCUUAGAAGUGAGAAUGCCGGUGUGAGUAGCGAAAGACGGGUGAGAAUCCCGUCCACCGAUUGACUAAGGUUUCCAGAGGAAGGCUCGUCCGCUCUGGGUUAGUCGGGUCCUAAGCUGAGGCCGACAGGCGUAGGCGAUGGAUAACAGGUUGAUAUUCCUGUACCACCUAUAAUCGUUUUAAUCGAUGGGGGGACGCAGUAGGAUAGGCGAAGCGUGCGAUUGGAUUGCACGUCUAAGCAGUAAGGCUGAGUAUUAGGCAAAUCCGGUACUCAUUAAGGCUGAGCUGUGAUGGGGAGAAGACAUUGUGUCUUCGAGUCGUUGAUUUCACACUGCCGAGAAAAGCCUCUAGAUAGAAAAUAGGUGCCCGUACCGCAAACCGACACAGGUAGUCAAGAUGAGAAUUCUAAGGUGAGCGAGCGAACUCUCGUUAAGGAACUCGGCAAAAUGACCCCGUAACUUCGGGAGAAGGGGUGCUCUUUAGGGUUAACGCCCAGAAGAGCCGCAGUGAAUAGGCCCAAGCGACUGUUUAUCAAAAACACAGGUCUCUGCUAAACCGUAAGGUGAUGUAUAGGGGCUGACGCCUGCCCGGUGCUGGAAGGUUAAGAGGAGUGGUUAGCUUCUGCGAAGCUACGAAUCGAAGCCCCAGUAAACGGCGGCCGUAACUAUAACGGUCCUAAGGUAGCGAAAUUCCUUGUCGGGUAAGUUCCGACCCGCACGAAAGGCGUAACGAUUUGGGCACUGUCUCAACGAGAGACUCGGUGAAAUCAUAGUACCUGUGAAGAUGCAGGUUACCCGCGACAGGACGGAAAGACCCCGUGGAGCUUUACUGUAGCCUGAUAUUGAAAUUCGGCACAGCUUGUACAGGAUAGGUAGGAGCCUUUGAAACGUGAGCGCUAGCUUACGUGGAGGCGCUGGUGGGAUACUACCCUAGCUGUGUUGGCUUUCUAACCCGCACCACUUAUCGUGGUGGGAGACAGUGUCAGGCGGGCAGUUUGACUGGGGCGGUCGCCUCCUAAAAGGUAACGGAGGCGCUCAAAGGUUCCCUCAGAAUGGUUGGAAAUCAUUCAUAGAGUGUAAAGGCAUAAGGGAGCUUGACUGCGAGACCUACAAGUCGAGCAGGGUCGAAAGACGGACUUAGUGAUCCGGUGGUUCCGCAUGGAAGGGCCAUCGCUCAACGGAUAAAAGCUACCCCGGGGAUAACAGGCUUAUCUCCCCCAAGAGUUCACAUCGACGGGGAGGUUUGGCACCUCGAUGUCGGCUCAUCGCAUCCUGGGGCUGUAGUCGGUCCCAAGGGUUGGGCUGUUCGCCCAUUAAAGCGGUACGCGAGCUGGGUUCAGAACGUCGUGAGACAGUUCGGUCCCUAUCCGUCGUGGGCGUAGGAAAUUUGAGAGGAGCUGUCCUUAGUACGAGAGGACCGGGAUGGACAUACCUCUGGUGUACCAGUUGUCGUGCCAACGGCAUAGCUGGGUAGCUAUGUGUGGACGGGAUAAGUGCUGAAAGCAUCUAAGCAUGAAGCCCCCCUCAAGAUGAGAUUUCCCAACUUCGGUUAUAAGAUCCCUCAAAGAUGAUGAGGUUAAUAGGUUCGAGGUGGAAGCAUGGUGACAUGUGGAGCUGACGAAUACUAA
rnacentral:rRNA from 1 species